UACAGGGGGGGCAAGCGUUGUUCGGAAUUACUGGGCGUAAAGGGCUCGUAGGCGGCCAACUAAGUCCGACGUGAAAUCCCAAAGCUUAACUUUGGAACUGCGUCGGAUACUGGAUGGCUUGAAUUCGGGAGAGGGAUGCAGAAUUCCAGGUGUAGCGGUGAAAUGCGUAGAUAUCUGGAGGAAUACCGGUGGCGAAGGCGGCAUCCUGGACCGACACUGACGCUGAUGAGCGAAAGCUAGGGGAGCAAACGGG
rnacentral:rRNA from 1 species